rnacentral:tRNA from 1 species
ACCACUGGCUGGAGCGCCCACGACACCACCCUCUCAAGGUGGCGGCACGGGUUCGAAUCCCGUUGGGGGUA